rnacentral:rRNA from 1 species
ACGCUCGACACCUACGGGUGGCAGCAGUGGGGAAUAUUGCACAAUGGGGGAAACCCUGAUGCAGCGACGCCGCGUGAAGGAAGAAGUAUCUCGGUAUGUAAACUUCUAUCAGCAGGGAAGAAAGUGACGGUACCUGACUAAGAAGCCCCGGCUAACUACGUGCUAGCAGCCGCGGUAAUCUGAGCGGGCUGGCAAGGC